AGUAAAAAAUUGUAGUCAAUAAAGUCUCGGAAACAACAAGGCUGUUACAAGACCAAAGUUAUCAUGUUCAAACUCUAGCAUGUGUAACACUCCAAAACUCUAUCCUUCUCAUUUAAUAGAUGAGGCAAAUCUUUUGUCUCCGUUUCGGAAAAAAAAACUCUAGCAUGCGUUAAUCAACAAAAAAUUACAUAAGAUAUAUGAGGUGGAACUGGAAGACGGAAAGGGUUUCCGCCAACCCAUUCCUACCAAAAGAACAGAACUGAAAUCACAUGCCAUUUCUGUUUCGCAUCAAUUGGUCCAUUUUCCAGCAGAUGUAGGAGCAACUUCCAGAGUUCCAAAUGGGGUCUUCGAGUAUUUAGUUGCCACAGUCGAUCAUUCCCAACAUGAAAAAUCUUCAACGACCAAAAUAUAAAACAUUGGUAAGAGCAGUCCACACUCCCAUGGAGUACUCAGCUAAUCAUGGCACCGGGGCAGCGAGUUUCAGCGUCUCAGAAUGAAUACCCUUCGUGAACCCUGCAGAUGAAACUAGGCUAAGUGGGAUUUUUUUUCCUAAAAAUACCAGGAAUAACUGGCAAACUGAGAAAGAUGAAAUUUUACUAUGAAUCAACUAGUAAUGAUAAGAUCCUGCUUAUAAAUUAGCAGUAGCAGAAUGUAACAUCAAGUGGUGGCAAAAUGUUUGUGGACACUGAACAAAUGGGAAGAGAAAAUACUGAUAGUAGCACCAACACCAGAGCAAAACCAUGAUAUAGUUUACUAAACUGUCUGAUUGUGGACAAUCCUUGCACCACUCAGGAAGUGGGAAGAAAUACAUAUGAUGAGGUUUCUCAGAAGAAGAAAAAAAGAUGCAUAUGAUGCGCAAGUAGCAGCAACUGAUCUGGUUUCUCAAUGAACAAAAAUUGCACUGAAUAUGCAAUAUCAAUUAACAAAGAAUCAAUCUGUAUUUGCUCACAUUUUCCUAUAGAAGCAGUCCAUAUAAUUGUUGCAACUCCAAUGGUCCAGCGUACUUGCAUACUUUUUCCACACACAAUUACUUCCGAAAGUAAUAGCUUUUUUUCUUUUCGCGAAUAUGCGCGGAGCGUAUCAUUCCAUUGAUAGAAGGGGAGAACAAACAGUGGCAAACCUCAUGAUCUAGGUCAUUCGUUCAUACAUAAUUCAUCCAAAAUCAAUCUUUAAAUUUCCGCAGCAACGUGCGGGGAAAUCACCUAGUAUAUCCAAAAUUUUAGAACACAAAUUGUAUGUGGUUUCCAUGCCCAUCCUACAUGCCUACUCCAGUCUCUACCCCUCUAAGUGCCCCAAACAGUAAUAUAUCUGAAAUAUACAGCAGUUGUGGCCUACGAGAAUGAAUAGUAC
rnacentral:lncRNA from 1 species